GACCCCGCUGGGAGGCUACCAUAACUUCCGAACCGACAGUCCUCACACAGAAAGGGACUGUGUGGUACUGCGGAGGACUCGGCGCGAGUCGCAUUGGGACCCCGUGGACUGCGGUGUGAGGCGGCCCUACAUCUGCCAGUUCGACUACAUUGUGGACAAGUAAGAUGAUGCGAUGCACGUGACGUCAGCCGAACAACCUUAUGACGUCAGGACAACGAUACAACAGCACCAGAAUGUUGUCAAAGCUACACAAGUAAUAAAAGAGGCUUGAAUAGAAUAUAGAAUAACGUGGGAUUAUACUACACAUUUUGAUUCAAUACGAAAUAAUACAACUUAUCUUAGACUUCUUCUUGCUACUAUUACUAGUCCUUCAUAAGAUUUUUUCCUCCCAUCAGUAAGCUACAUUGUACAUCGACUGGUGCCGGUCUAAUUUGUAGAUCUACAUAAAAAAAUAAAACUAAUUUACC